rnacentral:rRNA from 1 species
CCUACGGGCGGCUGCAGUGGGGAAUAUUGGACAAUGGGCGCAAGCCUGAUCCAGCCAUACCGCGUGAGUGAAGAAGGCCCUCGGGUUGUAAAGCUCUUUUGUUGGGAAAGAAAUCCUGUUGGCUAAUACCCGGCGGGGAUGACGGUACCCAAAGAAUAAGCACCGGCUAACUUCGUGCCAGCAGCCGCGGUAAUACGAAGGGUGCAAGCUUUACUCGGAAUUACUGGGCGUGAAGCGUGAGUUGGUGGGUGAAAGCCCUGGGCUCAACCUGGGAAUUGCGAUGGAUACUGGGCGACUAGAGUGUGGUAGAGGGUGGCGGAAUUCCCGGUGUAGCAGUGAAAUGCGUAGAGAUCGGGAGGAACAUCCGUGGCGAAGGCGGCCACCUGGGCCAACACUGACACUGAGGCACGAAAGCGUGGGGAGCAAACAGGAUUAGAUACCCCAGUAGUC